GAUGAACGCUGGCGGCGUGCCUAAUACAUGCAAGUCGAGCGAACAGACGAGGAGCUUGCUCCUCUGACGUUAGCGGCGGACGGGUGAGUAACACGUGGAUAACCUACCUAUAAGACUGGGAUAACUUCGGGAAACCGGAGCUAAUACCGGAUAAUCUAUUGAACCGCAUGGUUCAAUAGUGAAAGACGGUUUUGCUGUCACUUAUAGAUGGAUCCGCGCCGCAUUAGCUAGUUGGUAAGGUAACGGCUUACCAAGGCAACGAUGCGUAGCCGACCUGAGAGGGUGAUCGCCCACACUGGAACUGAGACACGGUCCAGACUCCUACGGGAGGCAGCAGUAGGGAAUCUUCCGCAAUGGGCGAAAGCCUGACGGAGCAACGCCGCGUGAGUGAUGAAGGUCUUCGGAUCGUAAAACUCUGUUAUUAGGGAAGAACAAAUGUGUAAGUAACUAUGCACGUCUUGACGGUACCUAAUCAGAAAGCCACGGCUAACUACGUG
rnacentral:rRNA from 1 species